GGGGCGGUGGCGAAACGGCAGACGCAGCGGACUUAAAAUCCGUCGGGCUAACACCCGUGUGGGUUCGACUCCCACCCGCCCUA
rnacentral:tRNA from 1 species